rnacentral:lncRNA from 1 species
GGUGAUACAUUAAGUUUGGAUGCAAAAACAUGUGAAACAAAUAAAUGUGAUGCACCAGUGUCUAAUAAAACAUGAGCAAUAUGGUCACAGAUAGUGUACAUACCAUGUACCACAUCCGGGUCAGCGUCGGCAUCCUGCUGUGUGAGGUUGUAAACCCUGCCCUAAAAAGGAGGUCUUCCUUGGUUCUAGUUCCUCGGGCACCCUCUCGUAUAAUGCUAGACACUACCACAUGUGCGACAGGUGUUAUUGAGGCGAUAGCAUGGUCGGUCCCC